UUCCUAUCUCUUUUGGCAUUUCUGCAAUUCAGUUCAAAGAUAUAGCCCAUUCCUUUGAUACUGAUGCAUUCUUAACAUAGUCCUGAUGUAUGUCUUGGGAGUACUUUGGAUGAGUACUCACCGUUGCUUUGCUUCCCUUUUCUCUUUGAUACAAUUAUUGCGAACAGGUGACGCAGCGAAGGACACAAUUUAUCCCACUAACGACUACUACUACCCCGAAUGAGCCUACUACUACGUGGAGGCCACUGACGACCAAGAGUAGUUAGGAGGCUCCGAGGCAGGAGGCCUUGCCUUUUCGAUCCAUGUUGAUGUUUGUGCUAGCCUUCUUAAGGAAAACUUUUUGUCUUAUAUAUGUACUCAGAUAUUGUUGCUUCCGUUGACUCGUUUGUAUUCAAGCAUAUGUAUUUGAGCCCUCGAAGCCC
rnacentral:lncRNA from 1 species